rnacentral:sRNA from 1 species
GUCAGGCCACCUGAUAUUAGGACGCUAGGGUUUGGGGAGAUGAACGAAUGCUGCCAUUUCGGGCGGCUUCUUGACCUUUCUUUCCUACAUUGCUUGGCAUGGCGGACCUGUGUAAGCAGUUGGCUGUCCUCUUAGAUUGGGUAAGGGAAAUCAGAUAAUACACCGCCUGGCCUGUUUCUUUCACCGAGCCCUGAGAGGCUCGCAGAGGAUCAGUGGCGAGAGGAACCGAUAUUACAGGACCCCUCCGUGUGCCGUUCUGUAGACCUACUCCACUUUUAAUUUACUUUUCGAGAUGGUUUUGCUAUUUUACUGAGUAAAUUCAGACUCAAGAGAUCCAGCUCGUCCGAGAGCAUAAGUUAGGCCAAACGCUAGCCUGCAAAGGUGGAAGAAGUGCUUCUCUGUGCAGCUGUUCAGUUGCUUGAAAUAAUCCAGUAUUGUGAGGAAAAACAGAAACGAUAACAAGUGUCCGAGCAGAGGAAACCAGAAACCCCAGACAUCACUGACAGAGUGCUGUAACUGGUAGAGAGAGCCCUGAGGAAGGCAGGCAGGCUGUCCUUCAAGAAGCUGAAGAGUCAGGAGUGACUCAGCACCUCCUCUGCUGGGAACACAGCCAAGAGAAAUGAAAGUGCACAUCAGCAGGGAAGCCGGCUGCGGAGAACACAGCAGUGCUGCUCAGAAAAGAGGGGAAAAGCACAUGCCCAGGAGGGGCACGUCAGACGUGUGUGUCCGCAUAACGAAGUGUUGUUUGUCACUUCGUAAAGAACAGAUCAUUUAUGUGUGUUAACAACAUGAAUGACCAUGUUAAAAAUAUCGUGCUUGGGGAGCUGAUGGGUCAGUGGUUAAAUGCACUUGUUUCUUCAGAGGACCGGGUUCCGUUCCAAGCACCCACAGGUUGGCUCACAGCCAUCUUUAACUCCAGUUCUAGGUGACUGGACUCUCUUUUGAACUCUGCUGGAACUGGGCAUGAAUGUGGUGUACAGACAUAAAGGCAAAACAUUCUUUUUUUUUUUUUUUUCGGAGCUGGGGACCGAACCCAGGGCCUUGUGCUUGCUAGGCAAGCGCUCUACCACUAAGUUAAAUCCCCAACCCCAAGGCAAAACAUUCUUACAUGUAAAGUUUAAGUUUUCAAAAUGCAUAGGUAUUUUUUAAAUGUCUGUGGGGGGUAUGUGUGUACCACACACAUACACCAAGCUUGGGCCACCUAGAUAGCUUAGUGGAUAAACACUUGUCACCAAGCCCGACAACCGGAGUUCAAUCCCUAGGCCCUGCAUGGUGAAGGAGAGCACUGACUUGCACAAGUCGUCGUCUGAGUUCCACAUGUGCACAAUGGCACACACACACAUCCCUACAGAAACACAAUACACAAAACACAAGUGCAAUGAAAUAACAGGAAAAAAAAACAAAACCCUAAGAUACCCAUUGCUCUGAGGAAAAACAAGCCUAGAAAGGUUCCACCCAGGGCCACUUGGUCCAGUUGCUUUGCUGUGUGGUAACUUCAUGAAAAUCCCAGCUUAAGGCUGAGGAAGACUUUCAACUCAGCCUUUUUUUAGGGAAGCAAGUGGGGAGGGGUAUCGCAACAUCCCCCUCAAAUGCAAAUGACCAAGCUCCUCCCAGUAGGGCAGUGGUAAUUAAAGUCUUCUAGGCGAUCCUAACAUGCAGACAGAGUUGAAAGGUCUUGGAUUGGGUGAAAAGAAUUCUGUGUGCACAACAGCAGGAUGUGUGUAUUUACUGAAGGAACAGCAGGCCACCCGCACAGCUCAGUGUAGCUCUUGCUACCUUUGCCUAGGAUGUAGAGGGCCUUGGAUUCCAUCCCCAGCACCAAAUAAUAAUAAUAAUAAUAAUAAUAAUAAUAAUAAUAAUAAUAAUAAUAAUAAUAAUAAAUGCUGGAGAACACUAAUAAAGUUUCUACACAGAGGGGUUGAUGAAAGUGGUAUAGAAAACUUAAUAAAGAGCUUGAAUCUCCA